rnacentral:rRNA from 1 species
AUUGAACGCUGGCGGCAGGCCUAACACAUGCAAGUCGAACGAGAGGCGGACGGGUGAGUAAUGUCUGGGAAACUGCCCGAUGGAGGGGGAUAACUACUGGAAACGGUAGCUAAUACCGCAUACCAUCGGAUGUGCCCCGAUGGGAUUAGCGAGUAGGUGGGGUAAUGGCUCACCUAGGCGACUAUCCCUAGCUGGUCUGAGAGGAUGACCAGCAAGACUGGAACAGAGAAACGAUCCAGAAUCGUACGGGAGGCAGCAGUAGGGAAUAUUGCACAAUGGGCGAAAGCCUGAUGCAGCCAUGCCGCGUGUAUGAAGAAGGCAUUCGGGUUGUAAAGUACUUUCAGCGAGGAGGCGUUACCCGCAGAAGAAGCACCGGCUAACUCAGUGCCAGCAGCCGCGAUAAUAC